rnacentral:rRNA from 1 species
UAGGGAAUCUUCGGCAAUGGACGGAAGUCUGACUGAGCAACGCCGCGUGAGUGAAGAAGGUUUUUGGAUUGUAAAGCUCUGUUGUUAGAGAAGAACGUUGGUAGGAGUGGAAAAUCUACCAAGUGACGGUAACUAACCAGAAAGGGACGGCUAACUACGUGCCAGCAGCCGCGGUAAUACGUAGGUCCCGAGCGUUGUCCGGAUUUAUUGGGCGUAAAGCGAGCGCAGGCGGUUCUGUAAGUCUUAAGUUAAAGGCAGUGGCUUAACCAUUUUACGCUUUGGACACUGUAGGACUUGAGUGCAGAAGGGGGGAGUGAAAUUCCAUAUGUAGCGUUGAAAUGCGUAGAUAUAUGGAGGAACACCGGUGGCGGAGGCGGCUCUCUGGUCUGUAACUGACGCUGUGGCUCGAAAGCAUGGGGGGCAAACAGG